UUCUCAACACAAAUUAAUUCAAUAUUAAAACAAAUGUUCUCAACAAGGGCCUACAUCCAGUCAUCGGAUUAAAAUUUAUCGCCUUGUCUCUUUUAAAGACAGCUGUAGGUGUCAGCGACUGUUCCCGUCCCUUUCUAGGCAGAAAUAUUAACGUCAGCAGAAAAUCGAAAAAAAAACAUCCUUGUCUACGUCAAAUAAAUUGUAAAUAUAUGUUUGUGUGUGAUGGUGUGCGUGUAAGUAUGUUGGCACGACGGCACAAAAAAAAAUGAUUUCAAAGUCAAGGGAAGGAUAUGGGAACAAAACGUCUAAAAUAUUGUAAAAAUAAUAUUCUAAUAAAAUAUGUCCAAGAGGGCCUUAAAAGUUAGGUCCUGUCGAAGACAAUCCUUUUUUA